GUGCUCACUUCCGUAGCACAUACACUAAAAUAGGAACGAUACAGAGAAGAUUAGCAUGGCCCCGGCACAAGGAUGACAUGCAAAUUCGUGAAGCCUUCCAUAUUUUU
ensembl:snRNA U6 U6 spliceosomal RNA